GAUGAAGAACGCAGCGAAAUGCGAUACGUAAUGUGAAUUGCAGAAUUCAGUGAAUCAUCGAGUCUUUGAACGCACAUUGCGCCCCCUGGUAUUCCGGGGGGCAUGCCUGUCCGAGCGUCAUUGCUGCCCUCAAGCACGGCUUGUGUGUUGGGCCUCCGUCGUCCUCCCGGGGGACGGGCCCGAAAGGCAGCGGCGGCACCGCGUCCGGUCCUCGAGCGUAUGGGGCUUCGUCACCCGCUCUUGUAGGCCCGGCCGGCGCUUGCCGACACAUCAAUCUUUUUUCCAGGUUGACCUCGGAUCAGGUAGGGAUACCCGCUGAACUUAAGCAUAUCAAUAAGCGGAGGA
rnacentral:misc_RNA from 1 species